CCCCCUUGUUCUUUAAAAAAAAUACACAUUCAACAAUCCUAAUCAAUCAUUCAUUUCUCCUUUAAUAUUUCUUCCCCCUAUUUUUCAUAGUAAAUAUCAAAAAAUUUAUUUUUUAUUAAUAUUUCAAUAAUAUUUCUUUCUUUAAUUUUAAGAAUACACAUUAGAAGAUAUGUUUCUUUUACUUCUCCUCCUUUUUCUUUCAAUUAAUGUAUAUGUG
rnacentral:lncRNA from 1 species